AGGUGAUCUUCAUGGUGAUGCCUACCAUUUUUGUAGUACUGCUGUUAUACACAAGCAGUAUGUACUAUGCUGGUGGGAUACAACACCAUAAGGUGUCGUACCUUGCCUGUAGGUGAUCGGUUCUCGGGAUGAUUUCUUAAAUUGUUAUAUGAUCGUUUCUUAAUACUGACAGAAGUUCGGGAUUAGAGGCAUGCUUAAGGAUGGCAGAAACAACAUCCAAUUUGUCUUUUCAAGCUAAUGGGGAAGGGAUCCUCGAACAGAGCGAAGUUCUUGGCUAUUAGAACAGAUGAUGAGAUUUUCGUGAAUUGAUAGCAGACGGAGACUCUAUAAUGCUAUCUCUUAGGCGUCUAGGAAGUGCAUUCCUGCAUUGAAGCUGAGCUCUAUCUUGAAUGAAUUAAGAGGAAAAUAUUGGGGUUUGCUAAUUUCAAAUGGAAGCCCUGCCAUCCACAUGCAGGCACAUGUUCCACUCUUAGAUCUUCUUCUCUAAAAUCAGGCCACCAACAUACAAGAUGAAUGGACGCGUAGAAAAAGUUGUUUGAAUGGCCAGUUUACUUUAUACAUUGUGACCCACAUGAGUGAAACUACCAAUUUUCGAGGUACAAAUCAUCUAAGGGUGUCUUGGAAUUUUUCCAAAGUUCUCUUUAGAAUUGUUUUUCAGUUCCAUUUUGGAUUAAUUAUUGAAAAGAAAACAGCCCAUCAUACUUGUCCUCUGAGGGUCCUUUCUCAUGUCUCGGUGGUAGACUCACAAGAGUCUCAACAUGAGGUCAUGGAUUUGAGUACCCAUUGUGGUGAAAUUCCAUUGUGGUGUGAGUGUGUGGGUGUGGGUGGGGUGUGAGUGCGUGUGUAAA